rnacentral:rRNA from 1 species
GUCUGACAGCUUUAGAGAUAGAGUUUCCUUCGGGCAGAUCACAAGGUGCUGCAUGGUUGUCGUCAGCUCGUGCCGUGAGGUGUCAGGUUAAGUCCUAUAACGAGCGCAACCCCUGCCGUUAGUUGCCAGCAUGUAAAGAUGGGGACUCUAACGGGACUGCCGGUGCAAACCGCGAGGAAGGUGGGGAUGACGUCAAAUCAUCACGGCCCUUACGUCCUGGGCCACACACGUGCUACAAUGGCCGGUACAGAGAGCAGCCACUGGGCGACCAGGAGCGAAUCUAUAAAACCGGUCACAGUUCGGAUCGGGGUCUGCAACUCGACCCCGUGAAGCUGGAAUCGCUAGUAAUCGGAUAUCAGCCA